rnacentral:ribozyme from 1 species
UGCAGAGGACACCCGAGGAUCCCUCGGGUGUAAUGCACACCGGGCGAAUGUCGCCCGGUUCGGUUCCAAGUCCGG